GCAGCGCCGGCAGUAGAGCUGAGAACACCUUUAAAUGGAGCAGACAGAGGAGUGGAUAAAAUGACCACUUCAUCAUCGGGGCCAAAUAUACUGCUGCAGUCGGAUGGAGGGAAGAGUUGAGGCAGAAUUCCAUCUACAUGUUGCAUUUCUAUGAAUGCAAAGAUCCUUGGACAGGACAGCGGGUCAGUGGGAACCCUACUGCUGCCACCUGGCCCUGGUUUGUCCUCAUGGAGGAGGUAUUAGGACAGAGGCCCUCUGUUGCCCCACCUGUCCUAAUUGCCUCCAUCCCUGAGGACACACCAGGGCUAGAUGCUGCAGAGGCUGGGCAGCAUCAGGGUGAAGAUGAGGAAGAGAAUGAGAAUGAGAGAGGAGGGAAAGGAGGAAGAGAAGAAGGAGAGACGAGUUGGUGGAUUUAAUCAGGGAGGAGAUGGCAGAGGGAGG